UUCAUAUUUUAAUUAUGUGGUUCCGAUUGUUUUAAACUGUAGAUUGCAGUAGUUGUUACAAAUGAAGUUACCCCCCGGAGAGACCUAUUAACUUGACUUCUGUUCAUGAAGAUCCCCAAAUCCCUGAUGAAGAGGCAUCACGGUGUGCAGAAUCUGGCGUGUGUUGUUAGGUAUUGAGGGAAUACUUCUGACUCUCACAUUGUUAAUCAUUUGUUGGUGAAGACAGAGAGUGUGGUUCUUCUUUUUUGUAUGGAGCCUUGCCAUAAUCUGAAUUUCUUGAAAGAUAUGGAAUGGGAUCUGGG